GGGUAAUUGGCCUGCUUGGUUAAGCCCUUUUCGAGUGAGCGCUUCGUUUACACCGAAGAUGUCGGCGGUUCGAGCCCGUCAUCGCCCACCA
rnacentral:tRNA from 1 species